UGGAGCAUGUGGUUUAAUUCGAAGCAACGCGCAGAACCUUACCAACCCUUGACAUGGGUAUCGCGGGACCAGAGAUGGUCCUUUCAGUUCGGCUGGAUACCACACAGGUGCUGCAUGGCUGUCGUCAGCUCGUGUCGUGAGAUGUUCGGUUAAGUCCGGCAACGAGCGCAACCCACACUCUUAGUUGCCAGCAUUCAGUUGGGCACUCUAGGAGAACUGCCGGUGAUAAGCCGGAGGAAGGUGUGGAUGACGUCAAGUCCUCAUGGCCCUUACGGGUUGGGCUACACACGUGCUACAAUGGUGGUGACAAUGGGUUAAUCCCAAAAAGCCAUCUCAGUUCGGAUUGGGGUCUGCAACUCGACCCCAUGAAGUCGGAAUCGCUAGUAAUCGCGUAACAGCAUGACG
rnacentral:rRNA from 1 species